UACGGGGGGGGCAAGCGUUGUUCGGAAUUACUGGGCGUAAAGGGCUCGUAGGCGGCCAACUAAGUCAGACGUGAAAUCCCUCGGCUUAACCGGGGAACUGCGUCUGAUACUGGAUGGCUUGAAUUCGGGAGAGGGAUGCGGAAUUCCAGGUGUAGCGGUGAAAUGCGUAGAUAUCAGGAGGAACACCGAUGGCGAAGGCAGGUCUCUGGGCUGACACUGACGCUCAUGCACGAAAGCGUGGGGAGCAAACAGG
rnacentral:rRNA from 1 species